rnacentral:misc_RNA from 1 species
GAUGAAGAACGUAGCGAAAUGCGAUACUUGGUGUGAAUUGCAGAAUCCCGUGAACCAUCGAGUCUUUGAACGCAAGUUGCGCCCGAAGCCAUUAGGCCGAGGGCACGCCUGCCUGGGCGUCACACGUCGUUGCCCCCCCAUCUACUCCUUCGGGAUUGCGGGGGGCGGAUGAUGGCCUCCCGUGCGCCUCGUCGAGCGGUUGGCAUAAAUGCCAAGUCCUCGGCGACGCACGCCACGACAAUCGGUGGUUGCGAAACCUCGGUUGCCCGUCGUGUGCGGUCGUCGCGCAUCGAGGGCUCGAAAAAAUUGCCGGGCUCCGGCUCGGCUUUCAACGCGACCCCAGGUCAGGCGGGGUUACCCGCUGAAUUUAAGCAUAUCAAUAAGCGGAGGA